rnacentral:tRNA from 1 species
CCUGGUCGCUUAGACAGUGAAGCGUCUGCUUGCAAUGCAGGAGGCCCAGGUUCGAUCCUUGGGUCAGGA